GAGGCAAGCAUUCUCCUGAAUGAAUUCCUCACCAAGUUAUCGAGGGACACAGGAGACAAUCCCAGCUAGGGUGCUCAGCUACCACCAGCCAUCAUCUCAGUGGUUCCAAGCACUGGGGGGCAUUGAGUGGGAAUAGCCCUCUAAAAUAAAUGCAGAGGCUCUGCUUCUCCUCUCCCACACCAGCCUUUAGACCUAAUGGAGCAGGUUCAUAUUCAUCUAAAUGGUCAUUAGAACCCUUUGCUUCAAUAUUCAGUUAGAAAAGAACCAAUUUCUGCUCUCUACCUUUCUUUGAUAACAUUACCGAUGGAGAGCGGUGGCAACCAUACAAGCAGGGCCACCACAAGGGGAUGUGGAUUGCAGGUCUGGACUCUCUCAUGCUUGACUUGUAUGCACGUGCAGGACUUGAACAAAACUGCUCUAAGAUCUUAUGUGCUCAAACACCUUCACUUAAUAUUUCAGCUCCCUCUGUGAGUUCCAGUUGCUAUGGCGAUAUAAGAGCUGUACAAGUCCCCAUGGUCUCCUGUACAAGAGAUCCUGCAAGAUCCUCUGAUUGUGGAUAUGCCAUGAUACAAAGGACUGCAGAGCCAGACCUCGUACGCCUGAGGAGAUAUGAGAUCCCAAUUAAGAGAGUAGCCAGAAACCUGUGCUUGGACCCAGCGCUCAUCGGUGCCAUCAUGUCCCAGGACAGCCGUGUUGGCCUGCUCCUGGACAACGGCUGGGACCAGGGACGGCAGAAGUACGGCCUGAUGCAGAUCAGCAGGCAACUGCGACCUUAUGCAGUGUGGGAUAGUGAAGAACACAUAAAUCAAGGCUCAAAUAUGCUGGUUCUUUCCCUUAAUGAAGUACGGGCAAGACAUCCUACCUGGACUUGGGACCGGCAGCUGAGAGGGGGUAUCUGCACCUACCAUGCAAGAAUGGGCAACCUCCCUGUCUACGAGGCAGACCCAUGCAGCAGAGACUACAGCUAUGCCAACAACGUGAUUAGGCGAGCCCAGUACUUUAAGAGACAUGGGUUCUAGGUCGUAAACCCACCGAGCCUCCCCUCUGCAGACUGGCCCAGCAGUGAUAGUAGUAACCCAGAGCAGUUCCUCAGUCUCCUGGCAGGACUGAUGCUGGUGGCAUUACCAAUGCCACCUUGCUGGCUCCAGCAAAUCCCAGCCCCCGGCUCGCUGAUGGGCAAAAUCAGCACUGCCUUCCAGGAGACCCCCCAGGGAUGAGAUCCCACAAGCUCGGGGCCUUUGAAAGGCAGAUAGGGACAGACCAGUUCAAUGUUUAAAUUAUGAGUGAGGAAGGUGACUCUUCCCAUUCAGAGCUGAACCUCAGGGCGGUUUGUGCAUCUCCCAGACAUGGAGACAAACAGCUCUUCCUGGGCAUCAGCUGUGCUCUCCCCAUCUGCGUCCACCUCCUUCCCUCUCCAUGGCCAAUGCAGGGGAUGAACACCCUGUUUGCCUUCCCUUGGUGCUGCUGGCUAAGGAGCAAUGAAGAGACUUCUCAGUGAGCCUUUGGUCUCUGCAGGAGCAGUUUUCCUGUAGCCAGCCUUGAGGGAGACAAUAUUAAAACAUGCUUUGGUUGGUCUCCACGGCCAUGAUGCAACUGUGGAGCUCACCAGGGCAUCUAUAUGGAAAAUAUUGCAAGUGCCACAGCAGGCAAAAUGCCUUUCUGUCAGAGAGCAGCCCUUGGAGCAGGAGUCAGCCCCAUGCAUACCCGUGCCGGGAGCUGUAUCACAGCAAUAGUUUUGGUAAAACCCCCACAACCUUUCCUGCCUUAGCUUUGGCACAUUUAUGCUGAGUUUCCUCCAAAUUUAAAAGCAUUUCAGCAUCUGUCCCUCUGCCAGGAUUCCCAGUUUGUAAAAGAAGUGAAUGAGCUCUGGUCUGUUUGAAAGUGGAUGGGUCUCUCGGUGCCAAUUUAUUAAUUAGAGAACAAAAAUGAGAAUAAAAUAGAAAUAAAGAUAAGUGUUAAAUCCCAACGUUUAUUUUUUUCAGUUUCAUGGGGCUUGGUGGGUAGCAAUCUACUUGAGUAAAUAACCCCUUUGAGUACUCUUGGAAGGGGUCUAAAACUCAGUUUGAGAACAGGGAGUGAAUAAUGGUUCUGCAGACUGGAUAGGUCAGAAGAGCUGGGCCUGAGCCUGCCUGCUGACCCAAACUCGUGAACAUGGUAAUAGGAAUAUUCACAUUUCAAAUUACCAUUUUGGAGGUGUCAGGGUACUUUUCUUCCAGCUGCCACCAUUGCUGAUGCAGAAGUGAUGUGCCUGGCAGUCCUUGCUGGCAGCAAGGGGCAGUGCGGUGCAUGUGCCUGGGCUGCUAGGCAGGGUCAACACAGGCAGCAUGAGAGUUGAAUUGCAGACAGCUUUUGCAAGCAGAGCAAUUUUAAUGCUGUUCCCCUUGUCUUGCCAAUCACUCAUCUGCUUACCAUCAUGGCAAGGACAGCAUAAUUAGCAUAUGUUACUAGAAAACUAAUUUUAUCACCUCUGGAGACCAGAGGGAACCAUUGGUUGUCUCAAAUGUCACUGAUUUUUUUUUUUCUUUUUAAGACUACCAUAAACAGUUCAGUGUUGAGCAACCACAGAUAUUGAAUUAUAUUUUACUUAGUCUUUAGUGAAUUCUGAACUAUAUUAUAAUUUCACUAAAAUCAUUACUUUGUAAUACAAACUUAUGAAAUGUAUCACAUGGUUGCCUACUUGACAUAACUUAUGUAAAAUUCAUAGGAUGAAGUCUUUAGUGUAUUAUGUUAUGUAAACCUCUGUGUUACAUAAGCCUCUUAUGUAAAGCCUAUGAAUUAAUUUUUUGGUAGAUGAGUAUAAACUUCAGAUGGAGCAGGGAAUCUCAUUGCUGCCUAUGUGUACAAAACUGGGGGUUGAGUUCCAAGGGUGAACAAGAGUGGAGCUUUCUUUGGUUGCCUUCAUGUCAUCCUCAGUUGCUGCCAGCAAGCUCCUUGUCACCACUACUGGUGCUGCCAGCCCUGCAGAUCUCUGAGCGCCUCAGGAGUCCAAUUUGUGCAAGUGUUACCUAUGAAGCUGCUGCUUCAUGUUGUGGUAGCAUAGCAACACCCAAGGACCUGCCUGCUGAGCAGGUUUCCAAAUGUUGUUUUAGGGUAUCAGCACUUUGCAGUGAAUACAGAAAAUCUCUGCAGAAAAUGAGUUAAAGCUUGAUAAAUUGGUAGGAAGGAGUAAAUAAUUAAGGAAAGUUUAACAGUAGCAUGCUGCCUUAAAUUGUGAGCAAGAGGUUUCCUGACAAAUAAUGAGCUCAGAUUGUUGUUCCCUUCUGAUCUUUUUCUAGUCAUGUUACUGGAAGUUUUUUUCUGCCUGAUGUAGACAGAGCAGAUGCAGUCACACUCUUGGUCACCCUUUUGAUCCAUGGCCUGGUGAAAAAAAACAAAACCAAAAACAAUAGACAUCUUGCGAAGCAAAUGAUCUAAUACCAAGUAACAGAUCAGAAAAAGUGGAAGCACGGGCAAGGAAAAACAAAAGCCACAUCAGAGGGGAAAGAAAGGUCCAGGGAAUCAAUGACCAAGACACCUGCCUGAAACAUUGAGGAAGGUGCUAGAGUAAAGGAUUGAAUGGUUCCUUCAAGAGAUCCAGUGGAACAACAAAGCAGCAAGAAACUGUAAGGAGGGUUCUGGCAUCCUGGCUUGGCAGGGAAAAACCAUCUCAGAUCAAUUAAAAUCUUUAUCUAAUGGAGUCAGUGGUCAAGAGAGAAGCCAUGGUUGUGCCAUAUCAUGCCAUGCCUGUUGCACCAACAAAAGUAUGCUCAGGACAAUAACAACCCUGAUGGAAAGUAUAGCCUGUGGAAAUAGGGAAUUAGAUUUUUUUUUCCCAAAAUAUAAAGAGAGAAAGCACAGAGUUAUGAUUUUCUAAUAUGCAAAAGAAAUGAAGGGCAAUGACCUACAUCCUUCCAUUCCCUUUGAGGGUAAGACAAAUAGCAGUGAGUUCAGCAGCAGAUUUGUUGGAUAAUUUAAAAAAAAACCUUUCAGGAUAAUGAAGCAACGCAAUAUUUCCUGGGUGUUUUAAAUAACAUUCAAGAUCAACAUGUAAAAGUAGCUGUACAUCAUAUAUAAUCACAGAAUGGUUUGAGUUUAAAGGAUCUUAAAGAUCACCAAGUUCCAGCUCCUCUGCCACAGGUAGGGACACUUUCCAUUAGACCAGGUUGCUCAGGGCACCAUCCAACCUGGCCUUAAACACUUCCAAGGAUGGAGCAUCCCAUCCACAACUUCUCUGGACAACUUAUUCCAGUGCCCCACACUGUGAGUGUUCACAAUAACAAAUUUCUUCCUAAUAUCUAAUCUAAACCUGCUUUUUUUGCCAUCAUGUUUUGUAGAGAGGGGAAAUGCAAUAGAUGUUGUUUAAGGACCUUUCCAGGCUAACACUGCCGAAUCAGAGUCAGCAGUCAGAAAAUGGAAAACAAAUUACAGACACUGAAGAAAACCUUUCUCUGUUGGGGUCCAGUGAUUUGGUUUUACAACUGAUGUUACUACUGGGAAAUCUAUUUAAAUGUGCUUCCUACAAUAGAGAGCAAGUGUGAGGUGGAGUCUUUCUCUCUCAUCAACUUGUUAAGCUGCAGGUGGCAUGGGCUGAUCCCUCAGUGGCUCAGGCAGGGAUCUGCUGGGAGUCUGGACCUGCAAUGACUGGCUUUCAAAGAAACCAGGCAGAGGGACCAAUUAAACUAAUUACCUCUUUCAGCAGUAACUGAAGCAGCAGGAAAGCAGUGUCAAAAGCAAGGCCCUGUUGGGUCAGAGCACUAAGCCACGUGGGAGAACAGAUUUUUCCAAUGGUUGAUUCCAAAUGCUGCAGCUGGGUCUGUUUGAGCCACGUGUCCAUGUCUGUCUCUGAGAUAUGCUGAAAACAAAGGGAAACACAAGCAGAUCAACACAGUGCUGAAUUACUGUGUUUGUUCUGCUUUGUUACUCAUUGCAAAACUGGGCUGGGAUUUCCUAGCCAGCAACUUGUCCCCAGGAUAGCGCCUCUUACAUUGCCUAGGAUGGGCACCAACCUGUGGUCCCAGGGACCCCUAUGGAGCUAAUGCUGCAGCUGGGGGUAACUGUUUCUAAUACUUCCCUCAGUUUAUUUAAUUGCCUUCCUUGAAACUGAAUAUUCCCACAUUGGAUACCCAGGGUCUGUUUUCUCCCAUUUCAGUGUUGAAAGAGAUCAUGUUGUAGGAUUGCAACCUCAGAGCAGUUUUCCACCAGCAUCCCUCAAACAAAAUCCUUGCGCCUCUCUCUAGCAUUUGUUUCUGUGGAUUCCUCAACCAGCUCAUCCUAAAGCAGGGAUUUAUUGCAACCAAAAAUUCUGCUUCUGCACCUCAUCCUGACGAGGCACUGAUCCAGCCAGUAUGCAGGCUCCCACUCAUGCCAGCAGCCCACAUUUACUGCUCCUCUGGCCUCACUGACUGCUCCCACAGAACUCAAAAAUGGUAGUACAGUUCUACUACAGCGUUUUUAUCAGUGGCAACUGGGAUUUCCACCCACAGGUUUUUAGGGUGCUUCUCUUUUCCUGUUUUUAGAUACAUUUUAUAUUUUUAUGCUGUAACAUUUUUAUCCUUCACAUCCAGAAUCACUCCACCACCUCUACAUCCUACUCGGUUGUUCCUGUGAGGCUGGCAGUGCUGUAUCUCAUUGGUGUUCUAGCCUCCACUAAGUCUCUGAGAUACCUUCUGUCUCAGGGUUGUCAUUUGGUUCAGGCUUUUGGGUUCUGGCUUGAUUUUGAAGUCUCUAGCAACUGUACAAAACUGUACAAAAACCCCUGUAAGUUUAUCUUUGCUUUGUUGCUUAAUACUGCAUAUGCCAAAUCCUUGCCACUGUAUUCUUUCUAUUUUGUCUUCCUCAUGUAUCAUGAUCAUGCUGUCUAUUUCCCCCGUCUUUUUUUUCAGAGGUAAACUGAACAUCAGCCUUGUCCACCUUGCAGAUCACAGGAGUUCAAACUGGAUACUCCUCUGGAUUUGUCAGCUUUCCCCUGCUUCUAGUGGAAAAGUUCCUCUAAAAGCUCUUCAAUUUCCAGUGACAUGGGUUGUCUAUGCCACAGCUCAGGUGCAGCCUGCCCCUUCUACACUGCACCUCUCAUCUAUGUUUUGUCAGUUCCUCACAUGUCUCAACCAUCUACAAAUCCCUGUAUUUCCCUAUGAGGGAAAGGCUGUCAGCUUGCAGCCUCAGGACACAGACCUUCUUCCAGCAUCCAGAGUACUGUGCCAUCCUAACACGGGCUGGAUGUGCUUGCCUCUGUUUCAAACUUCUUUACACUCAGCCAUAAUUGUGAGUGUGAAGAGCCCCAUGCCUGAGCUGCUGUGAAUUUUUGCAGCUGGUUCUCUAUGGGAGGUAUCAACAGUACAGCAAAAACUUACAGAAUCUCUCAGUGCAAUGACACGGGACGAAUUCCCCCGCUAGAAAUGUAGAAGAGCUGCUGAAAGAGCAGAACAGCAUUUCACGCCCACAUAAUGUGCCAUGGGGGAGAAGCGGGUCAGGAUACAUUCUGCCGCGGGAGUUCUGCCAUCCGGUGGUUGUUUUCCUUACUGCUGCACAGCUACAGUGAAAUCCAUCCUCACUGCCUGCUAAUUUGGGGUUGUUGACCUUUGUUGUCUCUGUGCAAGAGGGGAUAAAAACAGGGGCCUGGCACAGUCUCUGCAUAUCCGAAUUCUCAGCAGUUGCAGCUCUGGUCAUGUUAUUGUUCCUGGAACUUUGCCUGCAAAAAUUUGAUUAAAUCCAGAAGCGCAUUUUCCCAUUGUCAGCGUGUUAUUGCUCCCAAGAACCGAAGAGGAGCAGAUGUUUUCAGACAAGGUUCCUCCUAGCUCCAAACUUAGUAAUGGGACUUUAAAUUAAAGCUGUUUCAUGUUUUAAA